rnacentral:lncRNA from 1 species
AUACUGUGUGUUUCUUGGGUGAGUUCCAAUUUGUUUUAUUUUGCUUUCAUUGGAGUAUACUAUGCGUUUCUUGGGUGAGUCCCAGUUUGCUUAAUUUCGUUUUCAUUGGAGAAUGUUGUGCGUUUCGUAUUCUGAACCAACAAGAGAAAUCGCCCGUUACCUUGGCCUGGCUAGUCGGCGAAAGGUGGAAUGACGUUGUAGGGUCGCUCGCUUCAACUCGUAUUUGAAUGAUCGUUACAGUUUUGGCAGUCGUGUUCGACUUCGUCAUUAAUCGCUUCUAGGAUUCGCGUGGUUUGGACUUACCUCGUCCGUUGGGACAUCGAGACCGAGUCACAAUCCGACCCAACCGAUACGCACAAACAAUAAGG